GGUCAAGUUACUAAGAGCAUAGGGUGAAUGCCUUGGCACCAGGAGCCGAUGAAGGACGUGGUAAGCUGCGAUAAGCCUCGGGGAACCGCAAGCAGGUUUUGAUCCGGGGAUUUCCGAAUGGGGAAACCUACUUAAGUAAAGCUUAAGUACUCAUUACUGAAUCAAUAGGUAAUGCAGAGGCAUACCAGGGGAACUGAAACAUCUAAGUACCCUGAGGAAGAGAAAGAAAACUCGAUUCCCUAAGUAGCGGCGAGCGAAAAGGGAUUAGCCCAAACCAGAAGGUUUUCCUUCUGGGGUUGCGGAUAUGUUCACAAAGGAAGUGGCUAUUGUAGUCGAAGCGGUCUGGAAAGGCCCACCAUAGGAGGUAAUAGUCCUGUAGGCAAAACAAGAAGACUUCUGAACAUAAUCCAGAGUACCACGAGACACGUGAAACCUUGUGGGAAGCAGGGGGGACCACCCCCCAAGGCUAAAUACUACCUGGUGACCGAUAGCGUAUAGUACCGUGAGGGAAAGGUGAAAAGAACCCCGGGAGGGGAGUGAAAGAGAACCUGAAACCCUAUGUUUACAAGCAGUGAAAGUCCUUUAUAUGGACGAUCGCGUACUUUUUGUAGAACGGGCCAACGAGUUACGGUAUGCAGCAAGGUUAAGCUGUUAUGCAGCGGAGCCGCAGCGAAAGCGAGUCUGAAUAGGGCGAAUGAGUUGCAUGCCGUAGACCCGAAACCGGGUGAUCUAUCCAUGGGCAGGAUGAAGCGGAAGUAAAAUUUCGUGGAGGUCCGAACUCAUUAGUGUUGAAAAACUACGGGAUGACCUGUGGAUAGCGGAGAAAUUCCAAUCGAACUCGGAGAUAGCUGGUUCUCCCCGAAAUAGCUUUAGGGCUAGCCUCAAAGAAUGUGAUACGGAGGUAGAGCACUGAAUGGUCUAGGGGCCCUCACCGGUUACCAAAACCUAUCAAACUCCGAAUGCCGUAAUCAUUACUUUGGGAGUCAGACUACGUGAGAUAAGUUUCGUGGUCAAAAGGGAAACAGCCCAGACCGUCAGCUAAGGUCCCUAAGUACAGGUUAAGUGGAAAAGGAUGUGGGAUUGCACAGACAACUAGGAUGUUGGCUUAGAAGCAGCCAUUCAUUCAAAGAGUGCGUAAUAGCUCACUAGUCGAGUGAUCCUGCGCCGAAGAUUACCGGGGCUCAAACCUGUCACCGAAGCUACGGCUUGUCAUGGUACAAAUGGUAUUUUCAGAUCAAACCCUACGGGGUGAAGUAAGCUUUGUUGAAACUUCUGAGCUCCGCUCAAGAAGCGAAGAAGAUUCAACCAGAUUGUCAAAAAGCUAAAACCAAGUCUGAGACUAGCAUUUGUGCCAUGACAGGGGUAGGGGAGCAUUGUAUGCGGGCUGAAGUCAUACCGUAAGGAGUGGUGGACUGCAUACAAGAGAGAAUGUUGGCAUGAGUAGCGAGAGGUGGGUGAGAAUCCCACCCGUCGAAAGCCUAAGGUUUCCUGAGGUAGGUUCGUCCACUCAGGGUUAGUCGGGACCUAAGCCGAGGACGAAAGUCGUAGGCGAUGGACAACAGGUUGAAAUUCCUGUACCACCAAAGAUCGUUUGAGCAAUGGGGUGACACAGGAGGAUAGGUUAAGCGCACCGUUGGUUGUGUGCGUCUAAGCAUUUAGGGAGUUAGGAUUGGCAAAUCCGUUCUAACAAUUCUGAGAUGUGAUGGGGAGCGAAAUUUUAGUAGCGAACUUACUGAUUCCACACUGUCAAGAAAAGCCUCUAGUUAGAUUAAGGUGCCCGUACCGCAAACCGACACAGGUAGGCGAGGAGAGAAUCCUAAGACGAGCGAGAGAACUAUUGUUAAGGAACUCGGCAAAAUGACCCCGUAACUUCGGGAGAAGGGGUGCCGCGGUAGGGUUAAUCGCCCGAGGCGGCCGCAGAGAAUAGGCCCAAGCGACUGUUUAACAAAAACACAGGUUUCUGCUAAGUCGAAAGACGAUGUAUAGGAGCUGACGCCUGCCCGGUGCUGGAAGGUUAAGGGGACGUGUUAGAGCAAUCAAAGCACCGAACUUAAGCCCCAGUAAACGGCGGCCGUAACUAUAACGGUCCUAAGGUAGCGAAAUUCCUUGUCGGGUAAGUUCCGACCCGCACGAAAGGCGUAACGAUUUGGGCACUGUCUCAACAAUAGACUCGGUGAAAUUGUAGUACCAGUGAAGAUGCUGGUUACCCGCAGCAGGACGGAAAGACCCCGUGGAGCUUUACUGUAGCCUGACACUGGAUUUUGGUAUUGCAUGUACAGGAUAGGUGGGAGACGGAGAAACUUGGACGCCAGUCUAGGUGGAGUCAACCUUGGGAUACCACUCUUGUGAUACUGAAGUUCUAACCAUAGACCAUGAAUCUGGUCUUGGGACACUGUCAGGUGGGCAGUUUGACUGGGGCGGUCGCCUCCUAAAAUGUAACGGAGGCGCCCAAAGGUUCCCUCAGCGCGGUUGGAAAUCGCGCGUAGAGUGCAAAGGCAGAAGGGAGCUUGAUUGCGAGACCUACAAGUCGAGCAAGGACGAAAGUCGGGCUUAGUGAUCCGGUGGUUCCGAGUGGAAGGGCCAUCGCUCAACGGAUAAAAGCUACCCCGGGGAUAACAGGCUUAUCUCCCCCAAGAGUCCACAUCGACGGGGAGGUUUGGCACCUCGAUGUCGGCUCGUCUCAUCCUGGGGCUGUAGUAGGUCCCAAGGGUUGGGCUGUUCGCCCAUUAAAGAGGCACGCGAGCUGGGUUCAGAACGUCGUGAGACAGUUCGGUCCCUAUCCGCUGUGGGCGCAGGAAAUUUGAGAGGAGCUGUCCUUAGUACGAGAGGACCGGGAUGGACAUACCUCUGGUGUAUCAGUUGUUCCGCCAGGAGCACGGCUGAGUAGCUAUGUAUGGACGGGAUAAGCGCUGAAGGCAUCUAAGCGCGAAGCCCCCCUCAAGAUGAGAUUUCCCAUUCCGAAAGGAAGUAAGACCCCAAGUAGACUACUUGGUUGAUAGGUCGGAGGUGUAAGGGCAGUAAUGUCUUUAGCUGACCGAUACUAAUAGGUCGAGGACUUGACCAU
rnacentral:rRNA from 1 species